CCUACGGGAGGCAGCAGUGAGGAAUAUUGGUCAAUGGUCGGGAGACUGAACCAGCCAAGCCGCGUGAGGGAUGAAGGUACAGAGUAUCGUAAACCUCUUUUGUCAGGGAACAAAGGCGGGGACGUGUCCCCGGAUGAGUGUACCUGAAGAAAAAGCAUCGGCUAACUCCGUGCCAGCAGCCGCGGUAAUACGGAGGAUGCGAGCGUUAUCCGGAUUGAUUGGGUUUAAAGGGUGCGCAGGCGGUCUGUUAAGUCAGCGGUCAAAGCCCGGGGCUCAACCCCGGCCCGCCGUUGAAACUGGCAGUCUCGAGUUGGCGAGAAGUAUGCGGAAUGCGCGGUGUAGCGGGGAACUGCAUAGAUCUCGCGCAGAACUCCGAUUGCGACGGCAGCAUGCCGGCUCCACACUGACGCUGAGGCACGAAAGCGUGGGUAUCGAACAGGAUUAGAUACCCGUGUAGUC
rnacentral:rRNA from 1 species